AAGUCGUAACAAGGUUUCCGUAGGUGAACCUGCGGAAGGAUCAUCAACAAAUGGACCGGAAAAUGGUCUGAUCUAUGACAAACUAGACGAUAGUGGAUGUAAUGUCUGCUUGACCGAGUGGAUUGGUCUGUGUACCGUCAUAUAUGGUCUAUUUACAGAACUUGUAAUUGAACAGGAAUUCCACGGCCGGGUUCGGUGUAAUGCCGCCGGUGUAUAAACGAUUAAAACUUUCGGCAAUGGAUCUCUCGGCUCUCC
rnacentral:misc_RNA from 1 species